AAACCAUGCAUAGGACAUUUCUUAAGCAAUUCCUUAAAUCUUUCCCAUACUUCGUACAGUGUUUCAUCUUGUAAUUGUCAAAAAAAUAUUAUGUCAUUUUUUAGCUU
rfam:Gossypium raimondii chromosome 8, whole genome shotgun sequence.